rnacentral:rRNA from 1 species
GUGCAGCAGUCGCGAAAACUCUGCAAUACGCGAAAGCGUGACAGGGCUACCCCGAGUGUCGUCCGCUGAGGACGACUUUUCCACGCUGUAAGGAGGCGUGGGAAUAAGGAGAGGGCAAGUCUGGUGUCAGCCGCCGCGGUAAUACCAGCUCUUCGAGUGGUAGGGACGUUUAUUGGGCUUAAAGCGUCCGUAGCCGGCUCAACAAGCCUUCCGUUAAAUCCAACGAUUCAAUCGUUGGACUGCGGGAGAUACUGCUGGGCUGGGAGGUGAGAGAGGCCGACGGUAUUCCCGGAGUAGGGGUGAAAUCUUAUAAGUCCGGGAGGACCACCAGCGGCGAAGGCUGUCGGCUAGAACGCGCUCGACGGUGAGGGACGAAAGCUGGGGGAGCGAACCGGAUUAGAUACCCGCGUAGUCC